rnacentral:tRNA from 1 species
UCCCUGGUGGCUCAGAGGCUAAAGCGUCUGCCUGAAAUGUAGGAGACCUAAGUUCGAUCCCUGGGUCGGGAA